GACAGAGGGUGCAAACGUUGUUCGGAAUUACUGGGCGUAAAGCGCGUGUAGGCGGCUAAGUAAGUCGGGCGUGAAAUCCCACGGCUCAACCGUGGAAGUGCACUCGAAACUGCAUAGCUAGAGUCCUGGAGAGGAAGGUGGAAUGCUUGGUGUAGAGGUGAAAUUCGUAGAUAUCAAGCGGAACACCCGUGGCGAAGGCGGCUCUCUGGAACGCAACUGACGCUGAGACGCGAAAGCGUGGGGAGCAAACAGG
rnacentral:rRNA from 1 species